GAAUUAUUGAAAGUAGAUAUUAUUUUUCAAAGGAGAAAAACAAAAGUGUGUGAAUUUAACAAAAAUGGAGAGCGCAUUGAAGGAUCUGUCAACUCCCACCGGUGGCGUCGAGGAUGUUUACGGUGAGGAUUGCGCCACUGAGGAUCAGUGCAUCACUCCCUGGACUAUUGCCGUUUCUAGUGGAUACAACUUGUUGAGGGAUCCGCGUUACAACAAAGGGCUUGCUUUCACUGAGAGAGAAAGAGAUGCUCAUUACUUGAGAGGCCUUUUGCCUCCUGUCAUUUCCUCACAGGAACUUCAGGAGAAAAAACUUAUGCAGUCUAUACGCCAAUAUGACGUCCCUCUGCACAAAUAUGUCGCCAUGAUGGAAUUAGAGGAACGGAAUGAAAGGUUGUUUUACAAGCUUCUUAUUGAUAAUGUGGAAGAGUUACUUCCUAUUGUCUACACUCCAACUGUCGGUGAGGCGUGUCAAAAAUAUGGAAGCCUUUUUAAGCGUCCACAGGGUUUAUACAUCAGUUUGAAUGAAAAAGGAAGAAUCCUUGAGGUAUUGAAGAACUGGCCUGAAAAAUCAAUCCAGGUCAUCGUCGUAACUGAUGGAGAAAGAAUUUUGGGACUUGGUGACCUUGGCUGCCAGGGAAUGGGAAUACCCGUGGGGAAAUUGGCCCUGUAUACUGCACUUGGAGGAGUUAGACCUUCCGCGUGCUUGCCUAUAACCAUUGACGUAGGGACAAACAAUGAGAAGUUAUUGAACGACGAGUUCUACAUUGGUCUCAGACAAAGGAGAGCAACUGGACAGGAAUAUUAUGACUUUCUUCAUGAAUUCAUGUCUGCUGUGAAGCAAAACUAUGGCGAAAAAAUUCUCGUACAGUUUGAAGAUUUUGCA
rnacentral:misc_RNA from 1 species